rnacentral:rRNA from 2 species
AGGGGGACAACCACUAGAAAUGGUGGCUAAUACCGCAUAAAGAAACCAAAGUAGGGGACUUAGCCUUACACUUUUAGAUGAACCCAGAUGAGAUUAGCUUGAUGGUGAGGUAAUGGCUCACCAAGGCUACGAUCUCUAGCUGGUCUGAGAGGAUAACCAGCCACACUGGAACUGAGACACGGUCCAGACUCCUACGGGAGGCAGCAGUGGGGAAUAUUGCACAAUGGGCGAAAGCCUGAUGCAGCUAUGCCGCGUGUAUGAAGAAGGCCUUAGGGUUGUAAAGUACUUUCAGCGGGGAGGAAAAAUUAUUAAUAGAUUUAUUCUUGACGUUACCCGAAGAAGAAGCACCGGCUAACUCCGUGCCAGCAGCCGCGGUAAUACGGAGGGUGCUAGCGUUAAUCAGAAUUACUGGGCGUAAAGAGCACGUAGGCGGAUUAUUAAGUCAGAUGUGAAAUCCCUGGGCUUAACCUAGGAACUGCAUUUGAAACUGAUAAUCUAGAGUAUCGUAGAGGGAGGUAGAAUUCUAGGUGUAGCGGUGAAAUGCGUAGAUAUCUGGAGGAAUACCCGUGGCGAAAGCGACCUCCUAGACGAAUACUGACGCUGAGGUGCGAAAGCAUGGGGAGCAAACAGGAUUAGAUACCCUGGUAGUCCAUGCCGUAAACGAUGUUGACUGGGAGGUUGCUUCCUUGAGAAGUGGCUUCCGAAGCUAACGCAUUAAGUCAACCGCCUGGGGAGUACGGCCGCAAGGCUAAAACUCAAAUGAAUUGACGGGGGCCCGCACAAGCGGUGGAGCAUGUGGUUUAAUUCGAUGCAACGCGAAAAACCUUACCUGGUCUUGACAUCCACAAAAUUCUGUAGAAAUAUAGAAGUGCCUUCGGGAAUUGUGAGACAGGUGCUGCAUGGCUGUCGUCAGCUCGUGUUGUGAAAUGUUGGGUUAAGUCCCGCAACGAGCGCAACCCUUAUCCUUUGUUGCCAUCGGUUCGGCCGGGAACUCAGAGGAGACUGCCGGUUAUAAACCGGAGGAAGGUGGGGACGACGUCAAGUCAUCAUGGCCCUUACGACCAGGGCUACACACGUGCUACAAUGGCGUAUACAAAGAGAUGCUAAUCUGCGAAGACCAGCCAACCUCAAAAAGUUCGUCGUAGUCCGGACUGGAGUCUGCAACUCGACUCCACGAAGUCGGAAUCGCUAGUAAUCGUGGAUCAGAACGC